rnacentral:rRNA from 1 species
UACGUAGGGUGCAAGCGUUGUCCGGAAUUAUUGGGCGUAAAGAGCUCGUAGGCGGUCUGUCGCGUCUGCUGUGAAAAUCCGAGGCUCAACCUCGGACUUGCAGUGGGUACGGGCAGACUAGAGUGUGGUAGGGGAGACUGGAAUUCCUGGUGUAGCGGUGGAAUGCGCAGAUAUCAGGAGGAACACCGAUGGCGAAGGCAGGUCUCUGGGCCAAUUACUGACAC